rnacentral:rRNA from 1 species
GACGUAGGGCGCGAGCGUUGUCCGGAUGUAUUGGGCGUAAAGAGCGUGUAGGCGGCCAGGUAGGUCCGUUGUGAAAACUCGAGGCUCAACCUCGAGACGUCGGCGGAAACCCUCUGGCUAGAGUCCGGAAGAGGAGAGUGGAAUUCCUGGUGUAGCGGUGAAAUGCGCAGAUAUCAGGAAGAACACCCGUGGCGAAGGCGGCUCUCUGGGACGGUACUGACGCUGAGACGCGAAAGCGUGGGGAGCAAACAGG